ensembl:lncRNA
AGGGGAGACUGCAGAGCUCCUGAGCUGGGGGCAGCUCAGCUUCUGGGAAAUGCUGUUAGAAUCCUGUGUGUGUUUCUGGGAGAUAUCUCAGUGUGGAUCCCAAGGACAAAGUGAAAGCGUGACUUGCAGGUGCAGCUCGGAGCUUGGAUGACCUCUGUUUGGUAGCAGGUGCUGUGUUCCUGGAGGGAACCUUGCAGCUAGCCCAAGGACUCUGCUUUUGUCUGUCCACCCUUAUGAGUGAUCAGUGCUAAAGAGAAAAAGCCUUUUGAGAAGGGCAUCCUGAGAAGAGGCUUUCAGCCAUGCUCUGAAUACCAACUGUUUGAGGAGGUGAAGAGCCAAAUGAGUUGCCAGGAUUUUGUUCGAGCUUUGCUGUGAGGCUGUUCUCCCAUAGCAAAGCGGUGAGGCCACCUCAGAAAACCCUGUUCACAGUGGAACAGGUGCUGUGGGCAGCUUUGCAAUGUUUACAGAAGGGGUGCUGGAGAACAGGGGAUACCGAGUGGCAAAUGGCAAUUGUGCCAAAACGGGUGUGGAUAAAUGAAGUAAUUCAGAAACUCUUUUGGGCUUAUUUAGCAGCUUCUGUAGAGCUUGUCUGAACACAGGCUUUCAAAGUGGAUCAGAAGGUGAGCCUGGUAUGAUCUAAACACACAGAUAUUACUGGAGCUGUGUUUUGUUCCAGAAUCUGCUGCUGGCCUGGAAGGAAGAAGGUAUUUGGAGAACAUAUUCCAUCUGUCUUUGAUUUUCUGUGAAAUCAAAUGAUAUUGUGAAUACAGCUUCGCUUGGAUGAGGUUUGGCCCUGCAAUUGCAGCUGUUCUGUGUUGCCCUUUGCUGUCACCAAGGCAGUAUUUUCCCAUACCCCAGCCUGAAGCAGCUGCUGGGAGCAGCUUUUUGGGACUUUGCUGGUCGGACUAUGCUGUGGGACAGCAGCUGGGAGCAAAAUAUUGUUCAUAGUUAGCAAAGUGGUUCCCUCCCAGCUUUUGUGAGGAACUGGUGGUGUUUUUUUUCUGAGCUUGUGGAACCGUGAGCUGAAAUUCAGGUAAAUUG